GAUUAACGCUAGCGGCAGGCCUAAUACAUGCAAGUCGAGGGGCAGCAGGGUGUAGCAAUACAUCGCUGGCGACCGGCGCACGGGUGCGUAACGCGUAUGCAAUCUACCUUGUACAGGGGGAUAGCCCAGAGAAAUUUGGAUUAAUACUCCAUGGUAUAAUUGAAUCGCAUGGUUUGAUUAUUAAAGUUCCAACGGUACAAGAUGAGCAUGCGUCCCAUUAGCUAGUUGGUGUGGUAACGGCAUACCAAGGCGACGAUGGGUAGGGGUCCUGAGAGGGAGAUCCCCCACACUGGUACUGAGACACGGACCAGACUCCUACGGGAGGCAGCAGUGAGGAAUAUUGGUCAAUGGUCGGAAGACUGAACCAGCCAUGCCGCGUGCAGGAAGACGGUCCUAUGGAUUGUAAACUGCUUUUGUACGGGAAGAAACACUCCUUCGUGAAGGAGCUUGACGGUACCGUAAGAAUAAGGAUCGGCUAACUCCGUGCCAG
rnacentral:rRNA from 1 species